rnacentral:rRNA from 1 species
UUGCUCUUCAACGAGGAAUCCCUAGUAAGCGCAAGUCAUCAGCUUGCGUUGAUUACGUCCCUGCCCUUUGUACACACCGCCCGUCGCUACUACCGAUUGAAUGGCUCAGUGAGGCGUCCGGACUGGCCCAGAGAGGUGGGCAACUACCACUCAGGGCCGGAAAGCUCUCCAAACUCGGUCAUUUAGAGGAAGUAAAAGUCGUAACAAGGUCUCCGUUGGUGAACCAGCGGAGGGAUCAUUACCGAGUUUACAACUCCCAAACCCCUGUGAACAUACCUAUACGUUGCCUCGGCGGAUCAGCCCGCGCCCUGUAAAAAGGGACGGCCCGCCCGAGGACCCUAAACUCUGUUUUUAGUGGAACUUCUGAGUAAAACAAACAAAUAAAUCAAAACUUUCAACAACGGAUCUCUUGGUUCUGGCAUCGAUGAAGAACGCAGCGAAAUGCGAUAAGUAAUGUGAAUUGCAGAAUUCAGUGAAUCAUCGAAUCUUUGAACGCACAUUGCGCCCCCUGGUAUUCCGGGGGGCAUGCCUGUUCGAGCGUCAUUUCACCACUCAAGCCUCGCUUGGUAUUGGGCAUCGCGGUCCGCCGCGUGCCUCAAAUCGACCGGCUGGGUCUUCUGUCCCCUAAGCGUUGUGGAAACUAUUCGCUAAAGGGUGUUCGGGAGGCUACGCCGUAAAACAACCCCAUUUCUAAGGUUGACCUCGGAUCAGGUAGGGAUACCCGCUGAACUUAAGCAUAUCAAUAAGCGGAGGA